rnacentral:lncRNA from 1 species
CUCCUAGGAGACCCGGAGACCGCUGGUGAUUUUUUUUGUCUUCUCUCAUAAACUACAAUUCGUUUUUAUUAGGCAAGACUAGCAUUAUGUACCUUUUUUUUUUUUUAAUUAUAAACAAAGCAGUUACUGAGCACGUAGGGUUUUUUGUCCAGUUGUGGGUUAAAAGUCUGUGGCUGGCUGUACAUGGGAUUCAUGGUUAAUUCUGAAAACCAGGAAUCACAGUUUAGAAGAGUACAGCCGAUACCCUCUUACCUAUCAAUUCCCCUCCAAGAAGCCAUCCCUUGGAAAUAUGAGCCCAAGUACAUAAAGAAAUAUGUGCCAGGGUGGCAGCACUAUUUUGCAUUCCCACCAGCAGAGUAGAAGAGUUCCCUUUCUCCACAUCCCUGCCAACAUUUAUCAUCCUUUGGAGUUUUUGAUAACAGCCAUUCUGACAGGAAUGGAAACAAGUGAAUACAAGUAUCCUGCCCAGGGAGCAUGCUGUUUGGAGUCUGAUCACUGUAUUUGAACCUCGGAUCCACCACAGCUUCCGCGUCUAUAAAGUGAACAUCACAAUGAAGCAUCGAUCUCACAGAGCCGCGGUGGGGAUGGAAUGGAAUCACCCACGGAAAGCAUUUAGUGCAGUGACGUGUUUAAAACGUUCGCUGUUUUUAUUAUUAGACAGCUGCCAACUGACACAUGGAUUGAGCUCCAAAGGCUCAUUUUCCAUUCAGCUCUUUGAACUCAGAACGUAUUUGCCCACAUAAAGAAUAUUGAGCAUUUGAUGUGAUGACCCAUGAAUACUACCUAGUGUGGCUGAUGGAGCAUCAGCCUGGAUUUGCAUCCAGAAGAGAGGGUGGGGGUGGGUGGGGCUGCUGCAGCGUGGGAAGGUACGUACCCCAGGGAUGUCCUCCUCAGGGUGCUGAGUGCAAGAGCCCUCACGCCGCCUCCAGCUCCUGCUCUCCUGCAGGUUUUCUGCCUCAAUAUGAUUUCCUUCCUGCCGGGGUAAUGAAAUAUUCAGGGCCUCUGGCAGUUGGCCAGACCUUAAAAAAAUAAACACCCCUCUCCUUCCCAUCACCUUUCCCCUCUGCGCCCCAUGGCUGGGGAUCCCAUUUCCUUGGUAGCUGGCCUAGGGAGGCAACCACUAAUUUAUGGUGAUAGGUGAAUGCCCCCAAUCCCUUCCCCUUCCCAAAGUUGUUGACAUUUUUAAAGAAAUGGAAUCUAGAAUUUUAGGUGGUGACACAGAGAGCGAGCCCAGAAUCUGUGUCACUGGGACACUUAGCAUGCCCUUCCUACAACAUUGUUUUGCAGCCCCUCUGACAGGAUCAACUUGAUCCUCACCUCCGUUUCCUUCAUAACACCUUGGCCGAUGGUACCUGGAAGCUGACCAGCUGGCCCCUGGGGAUCCUCUCCCCUGAGCAGGCCUCACUGUCCUCUUCACCUCUUUCCUUCUCCCAUUACCCCCCCCACUUUUUUUAAAGGUAUUUAUUUAUUUAUUUAUUUAUUUAUUUAUUUAUUUAUUUAUUCAUCCAUGAGAGACAUACUCAGAGAGAGGCAAAGACGCAGCAGAGGGAGAAGUAGGGUCCUUGCGGGGACCCCGAUGUGGGACUCGAUCCCAGGACCCUGGGAUCACACCCUGACCUGAAGGCAGAUGCUCAGCCGCUGAGCCACCCAGGUGCCCCUCUCCUAUUCCUUAAAGCAGUUUUCCCAGAGCCCCUGCAGUUUUUCAGAUUGCUGCAAGGUAGAAAGACUCUGGCAGACCCUGGGACCCCUGACGGGGUCUGUGCAUCGUCAGUGGCUGAGCCCGGGAUUGCCCAUUAUCUGUGGGACACAGGAAUACAUUCAAGCCAGUGACAGAAUGUGUGGGUUAUGGAUAACUGAUGACUUGGGUACUUGUAUUGUCUAAGCCCCGAAUUGGGACACGCAAUCUGACAAGAACAAAUAAAUUUACGGGGACAAUGGGGCCGAAUCAUUGAAACUGGGAUACGGGCCAAAGAGAUGGCAGCUGAAAGAGCUGGGCAAUGGCUGGCAAGGGCGGGUGGCAGCGCAGUGGGCAGGACUGUGACAUUUCUGAUCCCACGUCUAGACAGACACAGGGAUGGGCGACCCAGUCGUGCCUCGUGCCCCUUCCAAACAUAACAGAGAAUUAGUUCGUCUUUUUUUUUUUUUAAUUUUUAUUUAUUUAUGAUAGUCACACAGAGAGAGGGAGAGAGAGAGGCAGAGACACAGGCAGAGGGAGAAGCAGGCUCCAUGCACCGGGAGCCCGACGUGGGAUUCGAUCCCGGGUCUCCAGGAUCGCGCCCUGGGCCAAAGGCAGGCGCCAAACCGCUGCGCCACCCAGGGAUCCCUAGUUCGUCUUUUUAAUGGUGGUGGAACUGUGACCAGUGCGUGGUCCUCUCUGAUUAGCUCCUGGCCAAUCUUUCUAACUGCUUCUUGAGCAUGUUUCCCCGGACGUCCUAGAAGUGCCUCAACAUGAUCCUGCUCAUCCUUCUCUGGGUUCAGGUCAUGGCUUCACCAUGCGCAGAGCCAUCUGAGCUAAAAAUAACAAUGAAUUUCAUCUUCCUCCUCCUCACUUAUUAUUAUUAUAUUAUUUUUAACCUAAUUAUUAUUCCCUGAGACCUUUUGUUUCUACCUCAGAAAUAUCUCGUUUAUCCCCUAGUGCCAUAAAGAUCCUCUAUUGAGACUACCUUGGUGGUUUCCUUUUUUUCUUUUUUUUAAAGAUAUAUUUAUUUAUCUAUUUAUUUGAGAGAGAGAGAGAGAAAGAGAUAGAGCACAAGUGAGGAAGAGAGGGAUAAGCAGGCUCCCUACUGAGCAGGGAGCUGGGAGCUGGACAUGGGGCUCAAUCCCAGGACCCUAAGAUCAUGACUUGAGCUGAAGGCAGAUGCUUAACCAACUGAGCCACCCAGGCAUCCCCCUCUGUGGUUUCAUAAAUAAUUUCCUGUUUUCCCCACCUCUUUGAGCCACACACAUAUCCCUCCCUCCUAAAAAACCUUUGCCUGUUCAUUGUCUAGAAUAAAGUACAUGUGUCAUAGGAUAGCAUCGAAGAUUUUUCCCAACAUGGUUUCAAACCUUCUUUCCAAUUUCAUCUCAGUCAAUGCAUCCUGUGAUCCCUCACCCUGGACUACUAGCCAUUUCCUGAAAUAAGCUUCUCUGCCUCUGCAAAUGCUACUCUUCUCUUCCCAGUUUCGUUAUUUUAUUUUUAAUUAUUUUUCCCUCAGUGGAGCUCAUCCUAGUUCUUCUAAGCAGUAUUAACUGUUCUCAGGGCACCUGGGUGGCUCAGUGGUUGAGCACAUGUCUCCCUUGGGCUCAGGGCAUCGUCCCAGGGUCUGGGAUCAAGUCCUGCACUGGGCUCCCUGCAGAGAGCCUGUUUCUCCCUUUACCUGUGUCUCUUCCUUUCUCUCUGUGUCUCUUGUGAAUAAAUAAAUCUUUUUUAAAAAAAGAAUUGUUCUGUCCCUGUUGCUCCCUAAAAUGUCCCCCCUCUGUCCUCUCAUGUUAACAGACCCACUUGUGCACACAUCAUCCUCUAUGCACCCUUGUGGCUGUUCAUCUUUAGACCCCAAUCCCAGCAUUUAAAAGGGACUUAAUAAAUGUCUAUAAAAUGUGUUGAAAAUCUUUUACUUUGGCAGAGAGCAACUGCAUCUUGGGGACACCUUCUUUCAUAUCUGUGAAGUUUGGGCCAGAAUCUGCCACCCCCGAAAUAUGCCACGUUGGCUUACAAUUAUUUUGAGCUGAAGGUGAUUAGGUAGCAGCAGCUGCAGGAGGAACUCUUUGCUAUCUCCCUUUCUGCUUAAAAGCAGGACAUAAAUUUCCUUCUGUGCAGGUGUCCCCCCUGCCUGCCCCCCACCCCUCUCCUGACUCAAGAGGAAUGGAGCAACCCAAUCCCAGGAGACAGAAAGUCAGCACUGAGAUGAAUCUGCCUAAACAAACCUUACUAAAUAAUCCUUGUUUUCCAUUAAUUUCUCGGUAUAUUUACCUUCCCAUAAUUGACUGCCCAGAGAGGCCCAAACCUCUUUUAUUCAUCUUGUCACUUUCCCCCAUUUAUUGCCUUCUGUUAACAUGGUAUAUAAGCUCUCAGGCCUAAUUGGUUUUUAGGGUUUUCACUUCUUUUUUUGGUGAGGCUCCUUGUGUGUAUAUGAAACAAACCUUUCUCCUGUUCAUCGUCUUCUGUCCAUUUAAUUCAUGUGUCUCAGUCACAAACCUAAGAGGGUGGAGGAACCAUUUUUUUCUCUCCCCUACACUUCCAGCCGGGCAAACAAAUAUUGACAUACACGGUUCUCUUGUCCCUUACUUCCUGCCUCAGGGUACAAUCCUCCCUUCUAGCCAUGUGGCCCUUUUUAAUGCCUGGUUGGGGGGCAGCUCCUUGGGGCUCCAAACUCCCCAGUGUGGGCCCCAUGUCCUCUCACUUGCCCUUCACUGUGUUCUGACCAUUGUCUCUCAAAGAUGAUUCACUUCGUGCUGAUUCCUACUCAGCAAUUAUGGAUAACAGGUUGAUCUCAAGAUAACCGCAUUGCCAUGGUGGGCUCUUGGAGAACUCAUUUCUUGACUAAAACCUGCAAAGAAUGGUGACGCUGGAGCGCUAUGGCCAGGCUAGAGGACCAGAUGGUCUGCAUUUGGGAGGGGAGAGAUAAGGGUGAGUUCAGGGGCAAGAGAGGUGAGGGACAGAGUGGUGGUUCUCAGGGAGGCUCAGGCAAGUCAAGCAGCAACCACAAAGGUGAGCUGCGGGGAGUCCAGCCUGGAAGCUUUGCCAAGUGAGUCUUGAAGGUGGAAACUGGGGAGGGACUCUUGAAGCAGAAGCUCAGGAAACCGUCUGUAGUGGGAGAGAGUAUGUCCUAUUGGGCCGAGUAUGUCGGAUCUUUGCGGAUGGUGCAUGGUAGAAGGGGGUGCGGGGUGCAUCUGUUCUCCAAGUGGGUGGCUGCCUUCAGGCCAGUCGGUACACAAAUCCAUGAAGUGGCCAAAUACUGGCCAGUUAAAUGGGCUUGUUAAGGGGAAAUUCACUCCGUAUCCAUGAGGAGGUGACUCUCAUUUGAGUAGACACUGUCAGGUUUGGUUAUGGUUCUCAGGCAGAAGACCCCUGCCCCUCCUUUACUUCAUGUAACAAAAAGUGAGUUAUUUUUCUUUUGGGGAGUGUUUAAUGAAAAUGGUGCUUGAGUGAAGGGUGGCUGGGUGGCUCAGUCACUUAAGUGUGAUCUCAGUUUUGGCUCAGAUCAUGAUGUGGGAUCAAGCUCUGAGCACAGUGCGGAGUCUACUUGGGAUUAUUUUCCCCUCCCCCCUCUCUCCCCCUCUGCUCUCCCGUCCCUCUCCCUCUGCUCAAGCUCUCUCUAAGCUAACUAAAUAAAUAAAAUCUGGGAUCCCUGGGUGGCGCAGCGGUUUGGCGCCUGCCUUCGGCCCAGGGCGCAAUCCUGGAGACCCAGGAUCGAAUCCCACGUCGGGCUCCCGGUGCAUGGAGCCUGCUUCUCCCUCUGCCUGUGUCUCUGCCUCUCUCUCUCUCUGUGACUAUCAUUAAAAAAAAAAAAAAA